rnacentral:lncRNA from 1 species
CCCUAGCACCCAAAAUUAGAAACUUAAAAAUAUUAUCACCCUGGACUAAGAAUCAGCUAGGGUUUUUAAUAAAAUAAUAUAAAAAUGGGUCCCAUUAAACUAGCUUGGGUUUAAGUAAACUAAUCGAAACGCACCGUUUCAUCGAUCCCUUCUUUCUUCUCCCUCAAUCGUCUCCUAUUCCUUCUUGAUAAUUACAAAUGAAGAAUUACAGAAGAAAAAUGAUAUAACAAAAAUUAAAAUUACAAAACUUUCUUGAAACUGUAGCACCCUUAUUGCCACCACUACCUUCUUCUUCUCCAUCUUUCUUUCCCAAUCUUUGCAAACCUGGUAUUAUCAAAAUCAAGCUUGAAUCUUUGUCUUGUUGAGAAAACACAAAACCUAGAUCCAUAAGCCCGUUCAACUCUUCAAAUUUCAAUUUUGAUAAACUCUUUCUCAAAAUUUUUCUCUCUUCUCUUGAUUCUACUCUUUCUUUUUGGGGAUUCUUGUAUCGGUACAAAAAUAUUUGUCUCUUUUUCUAUAAUUUCCUUCCUGGAAAGAAUUAUUUUUACAUUUAAUGUAAGAAGAACAGAGUCUGGCAAUGGAGAAAAGCCAGAGUUAAAGCUUGCUUUAGGCAACGAUUGAUCACUCAUAGACCUUGCAAUGAUUAUUAGAACUCUAUAAAUCCCUAGUUUUGUUUUUCUUGCACUUGAUGAUGAAGGAUGGUGACUGCAGGCGCCUCAUUAUCGAGAUGGAAUAGAAGAAAGAAGGGAUCGAUGAAAUUAGGGAUUUUAGUUUCCUCAUAUCAAAACGGUGCGUUUUGAUUAGUUUCAGGGGCUUGGGUUAACUAGUUUAAUGGGACCCAUUUUAUAUUAUUUUAUUAAAAAUCUUAGUUGAUUUUGAAUACUGGGUAACAAUAUUUCUAAGUUUCUAAGUUAGGGUGCUAGGCGGAUGAAGGUCAAUUUAGAGUGUUAUUAUAACAAGUCGUAAAGCUCGGAGUAUUUUUUUGCAGGUUUAGCCAUAAGAAAUAGGGACUGCUUGAGUUAAACCGAAUUCACAGGUAAAAAAAUUAAGGUUAUAGACUUUUCAUCCAUUAUAACUAUUAGCACCUUUAGUAAAUUCGUCGUCGAAAAAACAAUCUUGCUAAUUGAGAACAGUCACCCAAGAAUUGAAAUAUGAAAGUUCAUUUAGGUAACUUUAAGCUAGUUGGGGCCAUACAAGUAAGGAUGAAAAAGGCAAAAGUAAGGAGGGUUGGGCUACUCAGUUGUCUUUAAAAACCAAGUAAAAAUGCCAAAAUAGCAGCCCUCUAGUGAUUUUCGAAAAUGACAAAGCGAGCAGUCCAUCACACAUAGAUCCUAAAAAAUGGAUCUGAAGGAUUACCAAUCAUCACAAAUUCAGCAAAGUAGCAAUAAACCAUAAUUAUAACAUCUAAAUCAGCCCAUGAGGUUGCCAAAACUUUGGACGACCAUCUUCAAGAGCAAGUGAAUGAAUGCCCCAGUAAAGGUUGCUAAGAACGCUUGUCCCAAGGUUAGCUUUUCACCCUUGGCAAGAGCAACCGCUACCUUCAAAUAAGAUUUUGACUACUUUACCAGAAGCAACACGGCAGACAAAUUUGUAGAGGAAAAAGAAAAGAAAUGAGGUGUGUUCAGCCUCAUAAGGAAUAUUGGAAUCUUUCAUAUGAACUCUGAUGAAGUUAGAAUAUCCAGUAUCUUGCUUGCCAAAGCAAAAACAAAUAUAACUUGUGUCAACGAAAAUGGUUGAACUAAUAACACUUCCGAUGACAGGAAGGCUAAAUAAAAUGGUCAUAUCAAAAAGAGAUGAAGACAUAGGAUCGAAAUGGAAGCAAAAGUAGAGCAGUUGGUUGAGCAGGACUAGAAAAGGAGAGCAGGCAUUAAGAGUGAUUGGUAAUAUGAAAUGUGUGACAGUAUAAAAUUAGCAAAUGAUAGAUACUAACUGAUUUCCAUACAUCUCAAAAAAACAGUUGAAGUCGACUAGACUAAUGGAUAAAAUCAUCAGAAAGGUAAUACUGGAAGCAAGGAUUUUUCUCCCAAAGAGAUACAUUGAUGGAUAAACACCAUAGAGGGGAAGAAUCAUCAAGAAUAAAGAAAGAAGGUGGAUAAGGGUUUUGUCAUUCUUCUUUUUAAAACUAGGAUCAAGUAUUUGGAGGCUGAUUUAUGGAUUAGUAUGAAUGAGAUCCUUGAAUGACCAAGAAUAAUAAUCAUCUAUUAAUUUGAGUAAAGCAUCUUGGUUCUCUGGAUACUAAUCCGUUGAUUUAGAAGGAGGAUCGACUAUUGUAAUGAGAAUGGUCAAAUUACAAGAAUAGAAAGGAAAAGCAGUCAGUUCUAAGGAGAGGUCAUGGAAGAGGAAAUAAGAGAAAUAAAAAUCUCAGGCCUCAAAG